UAAGCGAUAUUAUUAGGUAACGGUACUUUUAUUUUGCAAAACUGAUAAAUAUGAACCGUUUUUGGGGAAGCCUGGUCAAGGUUAAGGACAUAAAUACAUUAUUUUUAUAAGAUAAAGUAGCAAAUGAGUUUAUGUAAUUAUUAUGUAAUCGAACUUCUCAAUAACCAGACCAAUACUAUUUACACAGAAAAAAAACCUAAAACUUCAAAUAUAUUUGUUAUUUAUUUGAUAUAUAUAAAAUAUUUUUGUUUAUUUAGUUUAGUUGUGCACUUGCAUAAGAACCAGAUCGACAAGGAGGUCUUUCUAACGUGUGUUUAUAAGGGGAAGUUUUAUGUUUUUGGUCCAAUCAUUUUUUGGCAAAAUGAAUUAAUGAAAAGAAAAUAAGAAUUCGAAAGAGGAUACUGACUAAUUCCUAGACUAUUAGACUAUACAAUAACUUUUCAGUCUACUUGUACACGUUUUUGUUUCUUGGUUAUCAUUUAUAUUACUAUUUGCAUUAAAGUUCAGCGAAGCUGAUUUUAUUUAGUGAUUAUCCCCUCCAUUAAAAAACAAACCAACAACAACAAAACCAUUUACACCGUCAAAUCAACAUCAACUGUGUUUUUUUAAUUAUUGCAAUUAUGUACGCUGUCAGUAUAUUGUUAUUUUCACCAGUAUAUGUCUGUUGUAUUUUUUUCUGCUUGAUAUCACGUUCUGUUUAUUGUUAUAAGGUGCUAUCUUUUUGUUAACAAUGCAACCCUAAUAAAUAUUUAUGAAAUGUUUGUGAUGUUUGUUCUAAUUAUUACUCCAUAAAAAGUCGGGAGUAUGUGAAAAGAAGGCAAUGCAAUGAAAGAUCAUGAAGCGGAGAAAGACAAAAUAGAAACAUCACUAUGACCAAAAGGUAAACGAAAAAAAUGAUAAACAAGUUUAGAAAAAACCGUCACAGUUACAAAGAAAACUAAAAAUUGAGCAGAAGAAACCUAAACACAAAUACAAAUACAAUAAAAUCAGGGUCGAAUGCAGAAGCAACCUAAACACAAAUACAAAUACAACACAAUCAGG
rnacentral:lncRNA from 1 species